AUUGGAACAUAGAAUAUUUAAAAAAUGGUCGGAGGUUUCGCCUAACGGGGCGCCCGGAGGGCGCCCCACUUCGGUAGGGUAACGCCGGACGGUUUCUACGAGAAACGCAGAUUCCGAAACUGUAUAAAACGUCCCGAUCGAAGCCCGGGAAGUCUUCGAAAAUAAUUUCCGAAAAUGUUCGAUUUCGACGAUUUUUGCCGUCGACGGCGAAUAUGGCAAAACUUUCUGAAGUUGGCAGAGCGAACGGAAACUUUUCGGGGUCCGGGAACGGGCUAUGUCGUAUCCCGAAGGACCGAGUCAUUGAGAGUUAACACAUUUUCCCACUUUUACGGCCCCCAAAUAACCGAAAAUUGCGUAAGAAAAAAGGGUAAUUUUGACGUUUCUCAAUUUCGCAUUUUUUCGUUUUCGUAGAAGGAAAACCACAGAGACGUCAUUGUUGAUAGUUGUCACGUAUGAAUAAUUCUCGCAAUUUUCAUUCGAAACAUUCGAGAAAUGGAUGAAAAUGGGUGAAAAUCGUUCAAAUCACGUAUCUAAAGUCCCAAAUAUUACGAUUCGGGAUUCCGAGACGAUAAUUUCUAUCUAAAUAUGCACGGGUAUGACAAGCAUCGAACUCUCAUACAAAUUCUGCCGUUGAGGGAAGAGUGGAAAAUUGUUUGGAUUACGGAAAUCGUACAAAGGCAUAUAGGAGACCGGGGACGGUCUAUGUUUUAUCAGCAAGGACCAAAUCAUAAGUUUCAACCAAUUUGAGCUCCUAAAACGAUCCAGAAAUACCCCAAAAAUGCAUAGGAAAGAGGUGGAAAGGUGCAAAACUCUUUGUAAUAACAAGGUCCCACGAAGUCAUUUAUCGUACCGGAGAAGGGCUAUGUUUUGUCAGGAAGGACUGAAUUUUACUUAUUAAUCAUUUUGAGCGCCCCAAACCACCCUGAAAUACCCCAAAAAUGCAUAAGAAAAAGGUAAAAUUUUUGACAUUUCUCGAAUUCAUUUUUCAUUCGAAGGAAUAACACCAAACUGAAGAAAUUUGAUCGUUUUCAAGAAAACUCGAGCACUAAGGGGAGGAUUUGAGUUCUUUCGAACAUCAAUUGUAUCAGUAGAAGGACAAACUGUCGUAAAAAUAUGAGAUGGUAUCGUUGUAUGUGUACCGGGGACGGGGCUAUGUUUUGUCUGGAAGGACUGAAUUUUACUUAUUAAUCAUUUUGAGCUCCUAAAAUGACCCAGAAAUACCAGAAAAAUGCAUAAGAAAAAGGUAGAAUUUUUGACAUUUCUCAAUUUUUUUUUCAUUCGAAGGAACAACACAAAACGGAAGAAAUUUGAUCGUUUUCAAGGAAAGUCGAGCUUUUAGGGUAGGAUUUGAGUCCUUUCAAACAUCAAUUGUAUCAUUAGAAGGACAAGCCGUCGUAAAAAUAUGAGAUGGUAUCGUUGGAUGUGGUGGCUUCCAGAACACCCAGCAAACUCGGAAAAAGCAAAAGUUGAUACCUUUAAGAAAUUGCCUUUCCAGUAUUGUACAGAAGGCCAAGAUCGAAGGCCUGAAAGUCUCCCAAAAUAAUUUCUGAAAUACGUCGUUCUCGACGAAAGGUGCAAAACUCUUUGGAAUAAGAAAGUCGCACGAAGUCAUUUAUCGUACCGGAGACGGGCUAUGUUUUGUCAGGAAGGACUGAAUUUCACUUAUUAAUCAUUUUGAGCUCCCAAAACGACCCAGAAAUACCAGAAAAAUGCAUAAGAAAAAGGUAGAAUUUUUGACAUUUCUUAAAUUCAUAUUGCGGUUAGAUUUUUUGUGCUCAUUGUAGAGAAAGGAAUUCGUCGGUUUCUAUUGAAGGAAACUGAAUUGAAUCUUAUAAUGCAUGAAUCAAUAAUCAUUUUGCUUCAUUUUAACUGCAUACAAUAGAUUUUUAGCAAUUUUCAAGCAGUUGGGCAGUGUUCGGUGAUGAUUUAUUCCACUCAUUCGAAGUCAAAGGAAAAUAUGUUUUCGAUUAAUUUAUUCAAUGGAAAUGAUAAAAUGAUUAUUGGAAUACAUUAUCCGGAUUUUUUUUUCAUCGUAGAGGAAGGUGCAAAACUCUUUGGAAUAAGAAGGUCGCACGAAGUCAUUUAUCGUACCGGAGAGGGGCUAUGUUUUGUCAGGAAGGACUGAAUUUUACUUAUUAAUCAUUUUGAGCUCCUAAAACGACCCAGAAAUACCCCAAAAUGCAUAAGAAAAAGGUAGAAUUUUUGACAUUUCUCGAAUUCAUUUUUCAUUCAAAGGAAUAACACCGAAGGGAAGAAAUUUGAUCGUUUUCAAGAAAACUCGAGCACUAAGAGGAGCAUUUAUAUCAUUUCAAACAUGUAUUGAUUCAUUAAAAGUACAAACUGUCGUAAAAGUAUGAGAUGGUAUCGAGGCAUGUAUGGGCUUUUAGGGCGACCGUUGGAUUAAAGCAAAUAGAGCGUUCGUCCCUUUAAGAAAUGCCCUUUACAUAAUUGUAUAGAAGGCCAAGAUCGAAGGCCUGAAAGUCUCCCAAAAUAAUUUCUGAAAUACGUCGUUCUCGACGAAAGGUGCAAAACUUUUUGGAAUAAGAAGGUCGCACGAAGUCAUUUAUCGUACCGGAGACGGGCUAUGUUUUGUCAGGAAGGACUGAAUUUUACUUAUUAAUCAUUUUGAGCUGCUAAAAUGACCCAGAAAUACCAGAAAAAUGCAUAAGAGAAAGGUAGAAUUUUUGACAUUUCUCAAUUUUUUUUUUUUCAUUCGAAGGAACAACACAAAACGGAAGAAAUUUGAUCGUUUUCAAGGAAAGUCGAGCUUUUAGGGGAGGAUUCAAGUCCUUUCAAACAUCAAUUGUAUCAUUAGAAGGACAAGCCGUCGUAAAAAUAUGAGAUGGUAUCGUUGGAUGUGGUGGCUUCCAGAACACCCAGCAAACUCGGAAAAAGCAAAAGUUGAUACCUUUAAGAAAUUGCCCCAAAAUAUUUUCUGAUAAAGGUCGUUUUCGACGGAAGGUGCAAAACUCUUUGGAAUAGGAAGGUCGCACGAAGUCAUUUAUCGUACCGGAGACGGGCUAUGUUUUGUCAGAAAGGACUGAAUUUUACUUAUUAAUCAUUUUGAGCUCCCAAAACGACCCAGAAAUACCCGAAAAAUGCAUAAGAAAAAGGUUGAAUUUCGACAUUUCUCAAUUUCAUGUUGAGAUUUUUAGCAAUUUUCAAGCAGUUGGGCAGUGUUCGGUGAUGAUUUAUUCCACUCAUUCGAGGUCAAAGGAAAAAUAUGUUUUCGAUUAAUUUAUUCAAUGGAAAUGAUAAAAUGAUUAUUGGAAUACAUUAUCCGGGUGAGUUUUUGCAUUAAAAUUUUACAUUUAAAAACUUUUAGCAAGUUAUUCCAAUUUUAAGGCUAGAUUUUUUUUUUCAUUGUAGAGGAAGGAAUGUUGUGAGUUCCUUUUCAAAAUGAACUGAAUGAAAUCUUGAAAAGCAGGGAAUCCCUUUUAUAAUGUUUCUUCUCAACUGCAUAUAACUGAUUUUUGCUAAUAUCAUCAACUAUAUUUGGUUUUUUUGUUUCAUUUCUAAUUCCAGUAUGCAGUUCAUUCAUCAUCGAUGUAAAUUUCCUGAAAUUAUUCAUGGAUUAUACUGAGUGAAUCAGAAUAUAUGAUUUGAUUAUUAUUAUUUCGAAUAAAUCUCUACAUAAUUCUCUGUACUUCAAAUAUUCUUAUAGCCACAUACCCAUUAGAAAAUACACCUCUUUGAAAUAAGGAAGUUGCAUGAAGUAAUUUAUUGGUUCAGAGACAGCCUAUGUUUUGUCAGGAAGGUCUGAAUUUUACUUAUUAAUCAUUUUGAGCUCCUAAAAUGACCCAGAAAUACCAGAAAAAUGCAUAAGACAAAGGUAGAAUUUUUGACAUUUCUUAAAUUCAUAUUGCGUUCAGAUUUUUUGUGCUCAUUGUAGAGAAAGGAAUUUGUCAGUUUCUAUUCAAAGAAACUGAACUGAAUCUUAUAAUACAUGAAUUAUCAGUUACUUUACUUCAUUUCAACUCCAGACAAUAGAUUUUCACCAAUUUUUCAAGCAAUUGGACUGUGGUCGGUGAUGAUAUUUUCCACUCAUUCGAAGUCCAAGGAAAAAUAUAUGUUCGAUCAAUUUAUUCAAUGGAAAUAAUAUAAUGAUUAUUGGAAUACAUUAUCCGGAAGGAAAACCACAGAGACUUUACCACUGAGAGUUGUCAUGUAUAAUUAGAGCAAUUUUCAUUCAAAACCUUAGAGAAAUUAAUAAAAAUAAGUGAAAAUCCUUCGAAACACGUAUUUAUAGCCCCAAGUAUGAUGAAUCGGGCUUUCCUUCAAGACGAUAAUUCCUAUUCAAAUAUGUAUGGGUAUAAUUGCCUUUCCGUUAUGGAACAUCAAGAUCCUGGAAUUCUCCUAAAAUAAUUUCUGAAAAAGGUCAAUUCUACCGUUUACCGAGAAAGAUGCAAGUGCUUACUUAUUCAAGGUGGAAAAAGAAAAGGUUGAUUCUAUUUGCUGUUCCUAAAUUACAAUUUGUCAGCAAAUGUUAUCCUUUUUAUCAAGGUGACUAGCAUUUCGAACUACUGGAGAAAGGAAUUUACUUCUUUUUUCACUUCAGAUGCAAUAUUCUUCAAAAAAUUAAUUGUAACUAAAUUGGCUGGUGGGAAAACUAAUAGAAUGUUAUUUUCUGCAGGAAGAACCAGGUAUGGUUGGAUGUGGUGGCUUCCAGAAGUGUCCCAAAAUAUUUUCUGAUAAAGGUCGUUUUCGACGAAAUAUGCAAAACUCUUUGGAAUAAGGAGGACGCACGAAAUCAUUUAUCGUACCGGAGACGAGCUAUGUUUUGUCAAGAAGGACUGAAUUUUACUUAUAUAUCAUUUUGAGCCCCCAAAACGACCCAAAAGUAUCCGAAAAAUACAUAAGAAAAAGGUAGAAUUUUGACAUUUCUCGAGUUCAUGUUGAGGUUAGUUUUUUAUGCUCAUUGUAGAGAAAGGAAUUUGUCGGUUUCUAUUGAAGGAAACUGAAUUGCAUCUUAUAAUGCAUGAAUCAAUAAUCAUUUUGCUUCAUUCCAACUGCAUACGAUAGAUUUUUAGCAAUUUUCAAGCAAUUGGGUAGUGUCUGGUGAUGUUUUCUUUUUACUCAUUCGAGGUCCAAGGAAAAAUAUGUUUUCGAUUAAUUUAUUCAAUGGAAAUAAUAUAAUGAUUAUUGGAAUACAUUAUCCGGGUGAGUUUUUGCAUUAGAAUUCUCUAUUUAUAGACUUUUGGCAAGUUAAUCCCAUUUUUGUUUUCAUCGUAGAGAAGGAAGAAGUUUCUUUUCAAAAUAAAAUUAACUGAAUGAAAUCUUGAAAAGCAGGGAAUCUCUUUUAAAAUGCUCCCUUCUAACCGCAUAAAACUGAUUUUGCUAAUAUCAUCAACUGUUUUGGGUUUUUUGUUUCAUUCCCAAUUCCAGUAUGCAGUUUUUUCAUCAUCUAUAUAAUUUUUCUGAAACAAUUCAUGGAUUAUACUGAGUAAAUUUGAAUAUAUGAUUUGAUUAUUAUAUAUUUCGAAUAAAUCUUUACCUAAUUCCCUGUAUUUUAAGUAUUAUUCUUAUAGACACAUCCCCAGUAGAAAAUAUACAUUUGCUAAAGAUAACAAAAGUAAGAGUCGGAAAAUGUGAGAUUUAGAAGAUUAGGUGACAGUAUCACAUAAGGUUUUUGAUUCAUUGAGAAAAGGAAAAGCAUUUCUCAUUCAGUUUCAUUUAUAUAACAACAGAAUGAUAGGUUAGGUUAGAAAAUUUUGACCACAGAGUAAUACUAUAAGUUUUGAUUAUGUUUCAUAGAAAAACAACAACAUAGAACAAUAUUUUGGCCUCGGUAUUUUUAAAAAUUAUAUUUUUAUUUAAAUUUUUUUGAGCGAAUCUGUUUAAAUAGGUAUAUCUACCUAAGGGUAAAACUAUGGGCUUACUAGCCCAUAUCCCAUUUUCAUAUUUCUUCGUUUUCGUAGAAGGAAAACCACAGAGACUUUACCACUGAGAGUUGUCAUGUAUAAUUAGAGCAAUUUUCAUUCAAAACCUUAGAGAAAUUAAUAAAAAUAAGUGAAAAUCCUUCGAAACACGUAUUUAUAGCCCCAAGUAUGAUGAAUCGGGCUUUCCUUCAAGACGAUAAUUCCUAUUCAAAUAUGUAUGGGUAUAAUUGCCUUUCCGUUAUGGAACAUCAAGAUCCUGGAAUUCUCCUAAAAUAAUUUCUGAAAAAGGUCAAUUCUACCGUUUACCGAGAAAGAUGCAAGUGCUUACUUAUUCAAGGUGGAAAAAGAAAAGGUUGAUUCUAUUUGCUGUUCCUAAAUUACAAUUUGUCAGCAAAUGUUAUCCUUUUUAUCAAGGUGACUAGCAUUUCGAACUACUGGAGAAAGGAAUUUACUUCUUUUUUCACUUCAGAUGCAAUAUUCUUCAAAAAAUUAAUUGUAACUAAAUUGGCUGGUGGGAAAUCUAAUAGAAUGUUAUUUUCUGCAGGAAGAACCAGGUAUGGUUGGAUGUGGUGGCUUCCAGAAGUGUCCCAAAAUAUUUUCUGAUAAAGGUCGUUUUCGACGAAAUAUGCAAAACUCUUUGGAAUAAGGAGGACGCACGAAAUCAUUUAUCGUACCGGAGACGGGCUAUGUUUUGUCAGGAAGGACUAAAUUUUACUAAUUUAUCAUUUUGAGCCCCCAAAACGACCCAGAAGUAUCCGAAAAAUGCAUGAGAAAAAGCAAUUCCCAAGCAGUUGGGCAGCGUCCAAUGAUGUUUUCUUUUUACUCAUUCGAGGUCCAAGGAAAAAUAUGUUUUCGAUUAAUUUAUUCAAUGGACAUAAUAUUAUGAUUAUUGGAAAACAUUAUCCGGGUGAGUUUUUGCAUUAGAAUUAUUUAUUUAUAGAUUUUUGGCAAGUUAUUCUCAUUUUUGUUUUCAUCGUAGCGGAAGGAAUUUUGUGAGUUCCUUUUCAAAAUGAACUGAAUGAAAUCUUGAAAAGCAUGGAAUCUCUUUUAUAAGGUUUUUUCCAACUGCAUAUUUCUGAUUUAUGCUGAUAUUCAAGCUCAAUAUGAAGAUAAUUGUAUUGACAAGAAUUCUUUCAGAAAAACUGUGACAAUGUCUGUUGAAAUUGUUACACAGAAAUACGGAAUUCCUACUGCCUUUGAAAAUUCAUAGUUUGUUUUAAUUGAGGAAUUAUUCUUAUCCAUCCUUUGCAUAAUUGUUAUAUUGAAAGUUGAAAUAUUCAAUAAAUAGAAUGAAACAAAUGAUAAUGA